rnacentral:rRNA from 1 species
CCUACGGGGGGCAGCAGUGGGGAAUAUUGCACAAUGGGCGCAAGCCUGAUGCAGCCAUGCCGCGUGUGUGAAGAAGGCCUUCGGGUUGUAAAGCACUUUCAGCGGGGAGGAAGGCGUUAAGGUUAAUAACCUUGUCGAUUGACGUUACCCGCAGAAGAAGCACCGGCUAACUCCGUGCCAGCAGCCGCGGUAAUACGGAGGGUGCAAGCGUUAAUCGGAAUUACUGGGCGUAAAGCGCACGCAGGCGGUCUGUCAAGUCGGAUGUGAAAUCCCCGGGCUCAACCUGGGAACUGCAUUCGAAACUGGCGGGCUAGAGUCUUGUAGAGGGGGGUAGAAUUCCAGGUGUAGCGGUGAAAUGCGUAGAGAUCUGGAGGAAUACCGGUGGCGAAGGCGGCCCCCUGGACAAAGACUGACGCUCAGGUGCGAAAGCGUGGGGAGCAAACAGGAUUAGAUACCCUAGUAGUC